UUAAAAAAAUGUUGAGGCUUUAAAGCUUCUAAAUCCUCUAUAAAAUUUAUUUCAUCUUGCUAUUUAAAGAUUUUCAUUAAUUUUUUUUUAAUCCUAGCAUUCAAUGGUUUUUUAUCUAAUUUUUAAAGAAAAUGAGUUACAUUAUCAUAUACUUCAACUACCACAUAGGAUCUAAAUCAAUGUUGUAAAAACUUAUAAAGAAUAGAAUAUUAGUGUAUCAAGCUACUAUCAUAAAAUAAAAUCCAAUCACCUUUUUUAAUUGGCUUAGGACUCAAUUGAUGAGAUUUAUUAAACCUCUCUUUGUUGUUCAACCUUACUACUUCUAGCCUCUCAAUAGCAACUUAAUGAUCCAUGGACACUCUCUCU
rnacentral:lncRNA from 1 species